AGAGUUUGAUCCUAGUCUCAGGAUGAACGCUGGCGGCGUGCCUAACACAUGCAAGUCGAACGGAGCCUUAACCAAAGGAGCAGCCAGCUUGCUGGAAGCGGAAAAGGGAAAGGCUUAGUGGCGGACGGGUGAGUAACGCGUGGGUAACCUGGCCCAUACAGGGGGAUAACACUUAGAAAUAGGUGCUAAUACCGCAUAACAACAGAAAGCGCAUGCUUUUUGUUUGAAAACCAAGGUGGUAUGGGAUGGACCCGCGUCUGAUUAGCUGGUUGGCGGGGUAAAGGCCCACCAAGGCGACGAUCAGUAGCCGGCCUGAGAGGGUGGACGGCCACAUUGGGACUGAGACACGGCCCAAACUCCUACGGGAGGCGGCAGUGGGGAAUAUUGCACAAUGGGGGGAACCCUGAUGCAGCGACGCCGCGUGAGUGAAGAAGUCAUUCGUGAUGUAAAGCUCUAUCAGCAGGGAAGAAAAUGACGGUACCUGACUAAGAAGCCCCGGCUAACUACGUGCCAGCAGCCGCGGUAAUACGUAGGGGGCAAGCGUUAUCCGGAUUUACUGGGUGUAAAGGGAGCGUAGACGGCAGCGCAAGUCCGAAGUGAAAGCCCGGGGCCCAACCCCGGGACUGCUUUGGAAACUGUGAAGCUGGAGUGCGGGAGGGGCAGGCGGAAUUCCUGGUGUAGCGGUGAAAUGCGUAGAUAUCAGGAGGAACACCGGCGGCGAAGGCGGCCUGCUGGACCGUAACUGACGUUGAGGCUCGAAAGCGUGGGGAGCAAACAGGAUUAAGAUACCCUGGUAGUCCACGCGGUAAACGAUGAUUACUAGGUGUCGGGGGGCAGAGCCCUUCGGUGCCGCCGCAAACGCAGUAAGUAAUCCACCUGGGGAGUACGUUCGCAAGAAUGAAACUCAAAGGAAUUGACGGGGACCCGCACAAGCGGUGGAGCAUGUGGUUUAAUUCGAUGCAACGCGAAGAACCUUACCCGGCCUUGACAUCCUCCCGAAUACUGAGUAAUGUCAGUAGACCUUCGGGACGGGAGAGACAGGUGGUGCAUGGUUGUCGUCAGCUCGUGUCGUGAGAUGUUGGGUUAAGUCCCGCAACGAGCGCAACCCCUACAGCCAGUAGCCAGCAGGUAAAGCUGGGCACUCUGGCGGGACAGCCUGGGAUAACCAGGAGGAAGGCGGGGACGACGUCAAAUCAUCAUGCCCCUUAUGGCCGGGGCUACACACGUGCUACAAUGGCGUAAACAGAGGGAAGCGAGAUAGCGAUAUUAAGCAAAGCCCAAAAAUAACGCCUCAGUUCGGAUUGCAGCCUGCAACUUGGCUGCAUGAAGCCGGAAUCGCUAGUAAUCGCGGAUCAGAAUGCCGCGGUGAAUACGUUCCCGGGUCUUGCACACACCGCCCGUCA
rnacentral:rRNA from 1 species